UUGUUGCAUUCUGUCGGCGGAAAAGCAGAUCGGCAAACUAUAUUUUACACAAAAUCGUAGAAGGGAAACUUACAGUACAAUAUAAGCUGCUCUGAAUAUUGCAGUCGAAUUCACAUUAGUUUGAGCAUCAUUCCCAGCCAGAUUAUGAAGCCUGCAUAUACAUGAUAUAGGAAAUAUAUAUAGAUGUCACUAAGUAACUCUCAUAGCUGCUAAUUGUGAAACAGUGGAUUAAUCUAUAAUUUUGUGUUUACUUAUUGCUUUUGUAAAUAACAAAUAGGGCUUACAGCAUUAUGCCAUGAUGUUGAUGGGAUGUUCGGAUUAGAUUGGACAAGAAGAAAAUUGUGCAUUGAACAAAUAGCAAACUUACAAUUUGUAAGAAAGACUACAUUACUUGAUGACAGUGAAUACCUUUGAUAUAUUAUUCAUUUGAAAUAACAAUUUGGAACAAAGAGAAUUCAUAGUUUUCUGGGAAUAUUAAUAGUGCAUCAUAUCUGAAUUCCAUGAAUAUCUGGAUAGUUAUUCAUUUAGAAUAGCAAAUUGGAAUAAUGAAAAUUCAUAGUUUCAGUGAUUAGUAAUAGUCAAAUCAAAUCAAACUUGUAUUGCCAUAUAAACCAACUUAUACGAUUUGUGACAAAAACAACAUUAAUAAUUAUAUACAUUAAAUGCCAAGAAAAAAGCAUGUAUAAUCAUAUUAAACAAACUAAUGAAAAUAGUUCAAAAUUCAAUUAUGAGUCCCCUAUCCUUAGUGCCAAUGACUUUUUUAUAAAGGAACCUAUGCUUUCUAUCUGUUUUUGUGUUGAUGGGCAAAGAAUAUUUCUAAUUUUUUCAUUUUCAUUGAGGCUAUUAAAAUUUUCUAUACUUUUA